rnacentral:rRNA from 1 species
CAGUCGCCACGGGAAUACGUAGGUGGCGAGCGUUGUCCGGAAUCAUUAGGCGUAAAGGGAGCGCAGGCGGGCAUAUAAGUCUUUCUUAAAAGUUCGGGGCUCAACCCCGUGAUGGGAAAGAAACUAUAUGUCUUGAGUACAGGAGAGGAAAGCGGAAUUCCCAGUGUAGCGGUGAAAUGCGUAGAUAUUGGGAGGAACACCAGUGGCGAAGGCGGCUUUCUGGACUGCAACUGACGCUGAGGCUCGAAAGCCAGGGGAGCGAACGGGAUUAGAUACCCCCGUAGUCCCUGUCUCUUAUACC